rnacentral:lncRNA from 1 species
UUUCCUCAGCAAUGCAUGUGUUUCGUUCCUGUUUUACAAUAAAGUUUUGGACAUCUUGAAUUUUUGGGUGGUUUUUGUCUCGAGUUAUCUUCUGGUGAGUUCUUUUUUCUUAGAUCUAUUUUUUCUACUGAAUUUUUAUUUUUAGUAUUCAUAUUUCUCUGCGUAGUGCUUCUUUGUUUAAGAUUUUGGAUAAGGAAUAUUUGCAUACUUGAUUACAACUUCUAUCUUGAGACGCUACAUCUUUUAAUUUCUCUGUUUUGUUGCCCAUCUUGGACAUGCAUGUUGUGAUUUGAUAAAAUAUUAGAGAUUCUAUUGUUGCCCAUAAAGUGUUUGAUAAAAUGUCAUAUGAAAGCCGUGCCUACUGCCAUCAGAAAAUAGCUCUAGCAUUAGCUGCUAAUAUACUGUGACUUAGUUCUUAAAAACUUGAAAAGGAGGAACAGAAAGACUCAUGAAGCUAAAUGAAUUAAUUAUUGCUUAGUGCUUUAAAAAAUGUGCGUGGUCAAUCACAUAUUUCCGACUUCGUGUUUUUUCGAAAUACCUUUAUGGCUACUUUUCUCUAUUUUUUUCAUGCUUGGAGCAGCAGCAACAACAACUAUAACAAAUAAGUAUAAUCUCAUUAGUGGGGUCUGGGAAGCAACAACGACAACAACCCAGUAUAAUCCCACUAGUGGGGUCUGGGGAGGGUAGUAUGUACGCAGACCUUACCCCUACCCUGGGGUAGAGAGGCUGUUUCCUAUAGAAACUCGUCAUCCUUCCCUCCAAGAACUCCUCACUAUGCUCUUGGGUGACUCGAACUCACAACCUCAAGGUUGGAAGUGGAGGGUGCUUACCAUCAGAGCAACCCACAUUGUCAACAAUAUUCUGUUUCGUCGGUUACUUUGUUUCAUGUGAAGAGAAAACGUUCUUCUUUGAUGGAACAAUUAUGCUCUCUAGUGUGUGAAAUUGGAGAGAUGCCAAAGUACGGAUGGUUGCUGUCAGAGCAAGUAAAAUUAUAUUCGAGCCAGAAAAUCAUUAAGUAAUGCAUGUCUCUGUUACUUUUCAUUGAUAAUGAGGUUAUGCAGACCAUUUUUUAAGCUUAGGCUGGUUAUUUUGAAAAUAACCGAGGUUAUGUUGUUCUUGAGUUCGUGAACCUGUCAUCGAUAGACUGAAAGGUGCACCUAUAUUCUAUGCAAGAAAGGGCUCAAGGGCUUUUCAAGAAAGUCGGAAUAAAUGGAAUUUGCAUAUAUUUGAGAGUUUUCAUUAUUAAACAAGAAACAUAAUAGUAGCAAUGAAGGUGUUCAUCAGCUAGAGUCGUCUACAUAUAUUUAUCUGAAAGGAAUUUUCUUCUUAAAAUUAUCUAGAAGCAAAGAUUUCUGUCUUCUAUACCUUUAUUCUUAUUUUCUAAUAGUCCAUUUCUACAUCAAUCACGGCUCACAAUCGUUUGGUGCAACAUAUAGUGGCAGAGCAAACAUCCGAGUUUGAGAAGUUAUCAGCUGUUCACGAUGACAAUAAAUAAGUAGUGUAUAAUCUUGAUACUGAACUACGUAGUUUAGCUUUAGCAUCUAUACAUUAUUUGUUAUCCUGAUUACUCUGGGGAAACUUGAAAGAUUGUUUAUCUUGUUGAAUGUGUUAACUGGUUGAAAUAUGCAUUGUCCCUUGUUAAGUUAUUGUGUGGAGUUCACUUUAAAGUUACUGCAUAGUCUAGCUUUCUUAUAUAAAAUUCUUUCCAUAUGUAUGCGGUUCAAAAAGUUCAGUAAAUGCUAUUUUUAUUUUUAGGAAGCAAUGCUAAAAUUUUGUUCUUUUUCUCUCUGCCAAGUAUCUGUGUAACUUUCAUGCCUCUUCCAAACGCUUGAGAAACUACAUGUCUUUAAACUUAGAAGGAGCCAUAUGCUUGAGAAUUGAGGUAACUUACCUCAUUAUUCUUUUGCUUGAGCAUGUCUGGAUGACACAGUGGGGGAUCAAGUCACAUGGCUUUUCAUAUGUUUGUCUUAAGGGCUACAAAGUGUGAAUCAUCUGAUUUACGUUGUGAAAUUUCGAUCUACAAUGAGAAAUGAGAAUAAGUGGAAGAAUGCAAUUUUAUCGGACUAAUUCUGCAUUUGGCCAACUUAGGUAUUUGUGCAAUAUCAUCAAUCAUUGAAGGGAAGGAUAUAAUGAAAUUGCAACAUCCUGGUUUUGUAUUUGACUAAUUUCUGGUGAGUGUUAUGUUUUAAAGUUAGUGUUCUCUACUAAAAGGUUUUAAAAAAAUCUCCUCUAAAACCAGCUUCAAAAGCUCUAAGCCAGCUUUGUAAAGCUUUAAAAGUCUUCUCUUAAUUACAAGAAUUGAAUGUCCAACCAAUAUUAAUUUGUCGUAUUUAGGUGGUCAAGUUGAGAUACUGUAUAGAAAUUGAGAAGACAAAGUUGAUAUAGUGUUUGUGUUAGCAUAAGUGAAAUUUCUUUUGUACAAAUGCUAAGCUGCAAUUGUCAGGGAAACAACUUAUUAAAGUGAAAGUAACAACUCAAACAAUGUUUCAUUCUUCUUUUUGUUGAAGAGUCGAUAUUCUCUACUCUCUGAGUUAUCGAGCUGAUUUUACUUUCAAGUUUUAACUGAAAAAAAGAACUUCGUGCUUGCAAAACUGAUAUAUAAUUUCCUCUUCCAUGAUUACAGAUGAGAUGUUUAUCAAUGGUCUUCUCAAGCUUUUUACAUUUCAACUAAGAAGCAUUUCCAGAGGCGUGCAACGCAACAACAAGUUAUUUACGAGAUAAAAAGAGGGGUCUGCGUAAGUCAUUUGAAUAGUUGGAUAUGUCAUUGCUUUCAGUUUCUGGUAGGACAUAUAAGACAAAUAUAGAGAUGAGGUAGAAUUCUUAAAGCAUUCUUUAAUUUGAAGACCUUAUAUAAGCCAAUAACUGUACAUCUGCCAUAUUAUAAUACCUUGGGUUUGAUUUUCUUUCGUGGAAAACGUAAAGGCAGGCUAUAACUAAAGAAUUUGCAUAGUAUAGGUUGAAGAAGCCAAGUCCAAUGUCAAAAAAUAAUUAUUGAUUUUCUAAGUUGCUUUACUUUUGAUCUAUUACCAACCAAAUAGCAGAAGCUUAUGCAAUUAGUUUUAUCAUCUGCUGGUUUUCCUAGAAAAUCUGCUUGAAGUUGUUUCUAUAAUAUUUGCAUGGAAAUGAAACGUAGUUCCUAUGUUUCUGCUUUGCACCCCUUCCACUUAAGCUCAUCUAAUUGUCGCGAAAUAUUGUAUUUAUGCAGAUGUUUGAUUAGGCAAUAUUAACUUUGUUUUAUGUUACUGCUAAAGAAUUGGGGACUUUUUAUCUUUCUUUUUUAGUGCAUGAUGCAUAUGAACUUUAUAUUUGUCAGCUGAAGCAUAUUAAUAUAAGAGCUUAUAGCUUCCUGGUUGGCUGAAAAUUAAAUAAAUCUUACCUGUAUCUUACAGGCUGUAAGUAUUAAUGACUAGCAAUAGAAUGAGUUAGUGGCAUGUUUCUACGCUUAACUGACCUGGUCAAAGCAGUCAAAGAUGGAAAGAACAAACUUUCAGCUGCCUAUAUUAACUGACUCUAUGCCAGGAAUUGCUCAAACCAUAUUUCGUGGACCUUGAUCUUAGUUCUCCGGAUCAGACCUGUAACGACCUGACUUGUCGUUUUCAGAAUUUAAGCCCCAUUUAGCGGUAUAAGGCCCUGAGCAGCUUCUUAUUAUGUGUAUUGACUUGCGUUCGUGGUUGAAUUCAGUUACCGGAUGAUUCAGAGUGAUUUGGGACACUUGGUCCCCAAAACGGAAGUUUAAGUCUUAAGUUUUUUCCGUAGUCGGAACUGUGUGAAGACGACUCCGGAAUGAAAUUUUGAUGAUGCCAAUAGCUCCGUAUGGUGAUUAUGGACUUAGGAGCGUGUCCGAAAAAUUAUUUGGAGGUCUGUAGAGGAAUUUGGCUUGAAAUGACGAAAGAUGAAUUUUUGAAAAGUUUGACCGGGGGUUGACUUUUUGAUAUCGAGGCCGGAAUCUGAUUCUUGAAAUUGGAAUAGCUUCGUUAUGUCAAUUAUGACUUGUGUGCAAAAUGUGAAGUCAUUCCAGAUUGAUUUGAUGUGUUUCGGCACAAAAUAUAGAAUUUGAAAUUUCAAAAUUUAUUAGGCUUGAAUUGGGGUAUGAUUCGUGACUUUGAUGUUGUUUGAUGUGAUUUGAGGCCUUGAGCAGGUUCGUGUUAUGUAUUGGGACUGGUUGGUACGAUUGGACGGGGUCCUGGGGGCCUCGGGUUUGAUUCGGGGUAGUUCCGAACCAAGUUUGGGUGUUUUGAUGUUGCUGGUUGCUGGUUCUGGUGUUGUUCUUCGCGUUCGCGAGGAGCCCCUAGCGUUCGCGAAGAAAGAUUUUGUUGUUGGACUUUGUUCUUCGCGUUCGCGAAGAGAUUCUCGCGUUCGCAAAAAAGAAAAUUUUAUUGUUCGUCGUCUCACUUUAGAGGCUCAUAUCUCGCAAUCUAUAAGGAAUUUAGAGAUGAUCCAAAAAUAAAAGUUGUAACAUUUGUGUCUAGUAUUCAGAAAGAUAAACCAUUUGGCAUUUGGAGUUGUGUACCAAAAGUUAUGGUGCAUACACUACAAGCUGUCUAGGAAGAGUUUGGAAAUUUCUGUUGCACAGGGCUGAUUUUGGAAAAUUAUAUUUCGCAAUUUAUAAGGAAUGGGGAGAUGAAAAACAAAUGAAAGUUAUAGCCCUUUGAGUCUAGUUUCCAGAAAGUUAAACCAUUUGUCAUUUGGAAAUUUGUAUAAAAUGUUAUGACCAUUAUACUAGAGGCUAUUUGAGAAGAGUUUGAAAAUAGUUGUUGGAGAAUUUGUUCUUCGUGAACGCGAGGGAAGGGUUGUGAACGCGAAGAACAAAUCCCUAGGCAGCAGGAUAAAGUCCAAAUUCGUCUCAUUCUUUCAUUUUUGGACCAAGGAAGCUCGGGUGAGGCGAUUUUUCUAGAGUUUUUCAAGGGAAACGUUGGGGUAAGAAUUUCUAACUUGAUUUUGGUUAAAUUACAUGAAUCUAUUGUUGUUUUUAUCACUAAAUUUAUGAAUUGGGUUGAAAAUGGUAGAAAUCCUUUAGACUUUAAUUUAAGAUUUGAAGGGCGAUCCGUUAUCGGAAUUUGAUAAUUUUGGUAUGGUUGAACUUUUAUCGGAAUGGGUGUUCGAAUUUCGUAAAAAUUUUAUCGGGUUCCGAGGGGCGGGCCCCGCGCUGACUUUUUAGAAUAAAAUUUUAAGUUAGUGUUUUAUUAUCCGGAAUUGUUUCUGAUGAAUUUUAAUGAAGUGAUACAAUUAAUUUGGAUAGAUUUGAGCUGUCCGGAGGUCAAUCCAAGCAAGAAGGCGAUUUUGGAAUAUCGGCGCAACUUCAAUAAGGUAAGUGUCUUGCUUAACCUCAAGUGGGAAAAAUACCCUUAGGCAUUGAGUAUUAUGUGGAAAUUGUGUAAUUGAAAACCAUGUACGCGAGGUGACGAGUACGUACUUGGUUUAUAUGUGCAUAUUUCAUUGAUUAAAAUCCUUAGACGCCCUUAUAUAUUAAGUUGGAAAUUAUUAGCACUUAUUAAAUCCUCUAUUUGUCAUGCCUAGAUCCCUGUUUGUUAAAAUUAUUUUUAUAUGAUGAUUUGGUAUGAUUUCCACCUUGAAUUUAUGUGAAAUAUUAUUUUGUUGAGUUGUUCACUCCCGGAUAUUUUUGUUAAAAUUUUUGUGCAUAUUAUGGUCGAGCCAUGGGCUCCUUAUUGUGAAAAAUGAUGUAUUAUUGGUUUCCGUAGCAAUUUGAAAUAUUUGAGCACUUGAUGAGCCAUUUAUGAUAUAUGAUCACUUGAUGUACAGUUGUUAAAAUCAUAUUUACUUUGGGAUUACAGAACGGUAUUCUGGGAGAUCCCUCUGCCCUGCAUAUUACUUUGGGACUAUGGAACGGUAUUCCGG